GGCCAGGUGCCAUGCAUGGGCAGACGCGUGAACUCCGCCAGGACCGGAAGGUAGCAACGGCAACGACGUUCUCCCAGUGCCGUGGAGUGCCUGGCCACUUUUU
rnacentral:SRP_RNA from 1 species